CACUGCCGAGAAAAGCCUCUAGAUAGAAAAUAGGUGCCCGUACCGCAAACCGACACAGGUAGUCAAGAUGAGAAUUCUAAGGUGAGCGAGCGAACUCUCGUUAAGGAACUCGGCAAAAUGACCCCGUAACUUCGGGAGAAGGGGUGCUCUUUAGGGUUAACGCCCAGAAGAGCCGCAGUGAAUAGGCCCAAGCGACUGUUUAUCAAAAACACAGGUCUCUGCUAAACCGUAAGGUGAUGUAUAGGGGCUGACGCCUGCCCGGUGCUGGAAGGUUAAGAGGAGUGGUUAGCUUCUGCGAAGCUACGAAUCGAAGCCCCAGUAAACGGCGGCCGUAACUAUAACGGUCCUAAGGUAGCGAAAUUCCUUGUCGGGUAAGUUCCGACCCGCACGAAAGGCGUAACGAUUUGGGCACUGUCUCAACGAGAGACUCGGUGAAAUCAUAGUACCUGUGAAGAUGCAGGUUACCCGCGACAGGACGGAAAGACCCCGUGGAGCUUUACUGUAGCCUGAUAUUGAAAUUCGGCACAGCUUGUACAGGAUAGGUAGGAGCCUUUGAAACGUGAGCGCUAGCUUACGUGGAGGCGCUGGUGGGAUACUACCCUAGCUGUGUUGGCUUUCUAACCCGCACCACUUAUCGUGGUGGGAGACAGUGUCAGGCGGGCAGUUUGACUGGGGCGGUCGCCUCCUAAAAGGUAACGGAGGCGCUCAAAGGUUCCCUCAGAAUGGUUGGAAAUCAUUCAUAGAGUGUAAAGGCAUAAGGGAGCUUGACUGCGAGACCUACAAGUCGAGCAGGGUCGAAAGACGGACUUAGUGAUCCGGUGGUUCCGCAUGGAAGGGCCAUCGCUCAACGGAUAAAAGCUACCCCGGGGAUAACAGGCUUAUCUCCCCCAAGAGUUCACAUCG
rnacentral:rRNA from 1 species